CAAUAGCGUAUAUUAAAGUUGUUGCGGUUAAAAAGCUCGUAGUUGGAUUUCUGCUGAGAACGACCGGUCCGCCCUUUGGGUGUGUAUCUGGCUCUUUCUUGGCAUCUUCUUGGUGAACGUUGCUGCACUUGACUGUGUGGAGCGCUACCCAGGACUUUUACUUUGAGGAAAUUAGAGUGUUUCAAGCAGGCAUACGCCUUGAAUACAUUAGCAUGGAAUAAUAAGAUAGGACCUCGGUUCUAUUUUGUUGGUUUCUAGAGCUGAGGUAAUGAUUAAUAGGGAUAGUUGGGGGCAUUCGUAUUUAACUGUCAGAGGUGAAAUUCUUGGAUUUACGGAAGACGAACAACUGCGAAAGCAUUUGCCAAGGAUGUUUUCAUUAA
rnacentral:rRNA from 1 species